AAUAAAGAUACAUCAGGCCAAAUAUAAAUACAACAAAUAUUCAAGCUGAACCGAAAGAAACCAUCACAGUUUCAAGCUAAGUGACAUUUUCUUAACAGUAACAAUUACACCACCAGAGGGAGCUCUAACAAAUGAAGUAUUGACUAGCCUACUUCUUCUUUGUCUUGGUGGGUGUGGGUUGUAGACCAUGUGACUUUCAGUAAGUUUCCUGCUACCAUUACUGUCCCUCAUUUAUUCUGCGGGCAGUUUGGAAACCACAAGGUCAAACCAAACCAUUCAAAUGCCAAAUUCCCAUAGCCCACUUUCUAAUCAACCCACACAAUAUAACUUCUUCUCUGAUGAGUUACAAGAGAGCAUUCACAUUCUUUGCUUUGUGUUAUGAAUCCACUGAGGAACUAAUAAUGUAUGUAGUCACUUACAGAGUGAUAUGUUGUAAUGUAAAUUAAUGUUUAAUUGUUGUACCUGUGAUACUGAAAUAUGUUGAUACAUGUGGUGAAUCUGUGGUGUGAGAUGUUGCUGAUGUUGACAUCUGGGCUGUGCUUGUUUGUGUUGUAUAUUGCUUGAAUUCUGUGGAUGAGAAAGAGUCAUUAAAUCAUAGUUUCUGAAAAUGUUAUAUGCCUACAUUGUCUGUGAGGUGAGGAGAAUGGAUAGCUUAUACAUUUCUGGGAAUUGCUAUUUCCCCCUAUUUCUGGUCAACAAAUGGUCAAACAAAACAAAAAAGUCCCUAAAGUCCAAACAAAAGUCCCUAAAGGUCCACAUUAAAUGGUGUGCCUUCUGAUUACAGAACACACAUAUAUCAUAUCCUGUUUUUUUUUUGUUUUUUUACAAAAAUACCCACUGGCCAAAAAUAGAGAAGGCCUGUCAUGAGUUUCUCAUGUCACAGAAAAAGAGGAGAGACUUGGUCAUGUUUAAUUGGCUUGGCGCCAUGGGAGUAUUGCAUCCUCAAAAGCUUCAUUCUGGUAGACAUGUGACUGUCCAGAAGUCAAAGCACCUUUCUGGGUCACAAAUCGGACUCCAAGAGGACUACGCAAAGUGGGGUCAAGAAGUACACAUUUCAAUGUCUCCUCCCUCUAUUCAGACAUGGAGGCUAUUGGAUGGAUGCUAAGACAACAUCAGAAAUGAGAACACUACUGGAUUUACUCUCACCUUCAAGGUCAAUUCCACUGCCAAUCUGCCAGGACACUACAGGAGGUGUAUUUCCUUUUGCUGAACAUUUUACAAGAGUUCUGUCUCCAUGCUUGGUGUAUGUUAUUUUGGGCGCACCUAAUAGGUUCAUAACAAAGACAACAUCAGAUAACCCAUAAUAAUGCAAAGUAAAACAUGCAUAAAACAAACAAAAGAUGGCAUCUUGACUUUUUGUGCUUUAACUGAACAAAAUAACUUACCUAAAACGGUCACAUUGUAUCGCCUUACUGUGACUUUUGGUGAGUUGUUGCUGUAAUGGUAGCAUGAAUACAUGCCCUCAUCUUUGAAAGUCACAGGUGAUACUGCUAAAGUGUAGUCUGAACCAGAAAAGCUGAGGAUGCUAUAUCUGCUGUCCAGGCAAGCUGUAAAUUCAGAUAAAAGAAGCAAUGUAAAUGCAAUGCCUAUACUGCUGUUACAUUUAUACACAUAGAAUGGACAUGAGGGGCACAGUAUAAUUCAUUAAAACAUUACAAAUUA